rnacentral:rRNA from 1 species
GAAUAUUGGACAAUGGGCGAAAGCCUGAUCCAGCAAUGCCGCGUGAGUGAUGAAGGCCUUAGGGUUGUAAAGCUCUUUUACCAGGGAUGAUAAUGACAGUACCUGGAGAAUAAGCUCCGGCUAACUCCGUGCCAGCAGCCGCGGUAAUACGGAGGGAGCUAGCGUUGUUCGGAAUUACUGGGCGUAAAGCGCACGUAGGCGGCUUUUCAAGUCAGGGGUGAAAUCCCGGGGCUCAACCCCGGAACUGCCCUUGAAACUGGAUGGCUAGAAUACUGGAGAGGUGAGUGGAAUUCCGAGUGUAGAGGUGAAAUUCGUAGAUAUUCGGAAGAACACCAGUGGCGAAGGCGACUCACUGGACAGUUAUUGACGCUGAGGUGCGAAAGCGUGGGGAGCAAACAGGAUUAGAU